CCCUUAGAUGUCCUGGGCCGCACGCGCGUUACACUGAUGCAUUCAACGAGCUUAUAACCUUGGCCGAGAGGCCUGGGCAAUCUUGUUAACGUGCAUCGUGAUAGGGAUAGAUUAUUGAAAUUAUUAAUCUUGAACGAGGAAUUCCUAGUAAACGCAGAUCAUCAAUCUGCAUUGAUUACGUCCCUGCCCUUUGUACACACCGCCCGUCGCACCUACCGAUUGAAUGGUCCGGUGAAGCCUCCGGAUUGGCGCGCACCUCGGUGCCGCCGAGAAGUUGGCUAAACCUUACCAUUUAGAGGAAGGUGAANUCGUAACA
rnacentral:rRNA from 1 species